GUCCACGCCCUAAACGAUGUCAACUAGUUGUCGGGGAAGCAAUUCCUUGGUAACGCAGCUAACGCGUGAAGUUGACCGCCUGGGGAGUACGGUCGCAAGAUUAAAACUCAAAGGAAUUGACGGGGACCCGCACAAGCGGUGGAUGAUGUGGAUUAAUUCGAUGCAACGCGAAAAACCUUACCUACCCUUGACAUGUCCAGAAUCCCGCUGAAAGGUGGGAGUGCCCGAAAGGGAAUUGGAACACAGGUGCUGCAUGGCUGUCGU
rnacentral:rRNA from 1 species